GAGUUCGUAGGUGGUUAAAAAGUUGGUGGUGAAAUCCCAAGGCUUAACCUUGGAACUGCCAUCAAAACUUUUAGCUAGAGUAUGAUAGAGGUAAGUGGAAUUUCUAGUGUAGAGGUGAAAUUCGUAGAUAUUAGAAAGAACACCAAAUGCGAAGGCAACUUACUGGGUCACUACUGACACUGAGGAACGAAAGCAUGGGUAGCGAAGAGGAUUAGAUACCCUCGUAGUCCAUGCCGUAAACGAUGUGUGCUAGACGUUGGAAAUAUAUUUUUCAGUGUCGCAGCGAAAGCAUUAAGCACACCGCCUGGGGAGUACGACCGCAAGGUUAAAACUCAAAUGAAUUGACGGGGACCCGCACAAGCGGUGGAGCAUGUGGUUUAAUUCGAAGCUACGCGCAGAACCUUACCAACACUUGACAUGUCUGUCGCGGAUUCCAGAGAUGGAUUCCUUCGGUUCGGCCGGACAGAACACAGGUGCUGCAUGGCU
rnacentral:rRNA from 1 species